rnacentral:misc_RNA from 1 species
GAUGAAGAACGUAGCAAAAUGCGAUAAGUAAUGCGAAUUGCAGAUUUCAGUGAGUCAUCGAAUCUUUGAACGCACAUUGCGCCCGCCAGUAUUCUGGCGGGCAUGCCUGUUCGAGCGUCAUUUCAACCAUCAAGCCCCCGGGCUUGCGUUGGGGCCCUGCGGCUGCCGCAGGCCCCGAAAAGCAGUGGCGGGCUCGCUGUCACACCGAGCGCAGUAGCGAUUCUCGCUCCGGGCGUCGGCGGCGGGCACCGGCCGUGAAACCCCCCCACAUCCACAAGGUUGACCUCGGAUCAGGUAGGAAUACCCGCUGAACUUAAGCAUAUCAAUAAGCGGAGGA